GACGAACGCUGGCGGCGCGCCUAACACAUGCAAGUCGAACGGAGUAAUAUAAGAUGAAGUCUUCGGAUGGAAUUUUUUGUUGCUUAGUGGCGAACGGGUGAGUAACACGUGAAUAACCUACCCUGUAGUGGGGGACAACAUUUGGAAACAGAUGCUAAUACCGCAUAAGACCACGGUACCGCAUGGUACAGUGGCCAAAGGAGCAAUUCGCGUUGGGAUGGAUUCGCGUCCAAUUAGCUAGAUGGUGAGGUAACGGCCCACCAUGGCGACGAUUGGUAGCCGGACUGAGAGGUUGAUCGGCCACAUUGGGACUGAGACACGGCCCAGACUUCUACGGGAGGCAGCAGUGGGGAAUAUUGCACAAUGGACGAAAGUCUGAUGCAGCGACGCCGCGUGAGGGAAGAAGGUUUUCGGAUUGUAAACCUCUGUCUUCGGGGACGAUAAUGACGGUACCCGAGGAGGAAGCCACGGCUAACUACGUGCCAGCCGCCGCUGUAA
rnacentral:rRNA from 1 species